rnacentral:rRNA from 1 species
AGGAAAUAGAUACCCGGGUAGUCCACGCCAUAAACGAUGGAUACUUGGUGUUGGAGGUAUUGACCCCUUCAGUGCCGAAAGCAAAAACGCGUUAAGUAUCCCGCCUGGGGAGUACGGUCGCAAGAUUAAAACUCAAAGAAAUUGACGGGGGCCCGCACAAGCGGUGGAGCAUGUGGUUCAAUUCGAUGCAACGCGAAAAACCUUACCUAGAUUUGACAUGUAUUGGAAGGAUCCCAGAAAUGGGUCCGCCCGCAGGGGCCGAUACACAGGUGCUGCAUGGCUGUCGUCAGCUCGUGUCGUGAGAUGUUGGGUUAAGUCCCCGCAACGAGCGCAACCCCUGUGUUUAGUUGCCAGCAUUUAGUUGGGCACUCUAAACAGACUGCCGACGUUAAGUCGGAGGAAGGUGGGGAUGACGUCAAGUCCUCAUGGCCUUUAUAUCUAGGGCUACACACGUGCUACAAUGGUCGGUACAGAGGGAAGCAAAGCCGCAAGGUAGAGCAAAUCCCAGAAAGCCGAUCUAAGUUCGGAUCGUAGUCUGCAACUCGAC